UACGUAGGGGGCAAGCGUUGUCCGGAUUCAUUGGGCGUAAAGAGCGUGUAGGCGGCCAGGUAGGUCGGUUGUGAAAACUGGAGGCUCAACCUUCCAGAGGUCGACCGAAACCCCCUGGCUAGAGUCCGGAAGAGGAGAGUGGGAAUUCCUGGUGUAGCGGUGAAAUGACGCAGAUAUCAGGAAGAACACCCGUGGCGAAGGCGGGCACCUGGGCUAACACUGACGCUGGAUGCGCGAAAGCUAGGGGGAGCAAACAGG
rnacentral:rRNA from 1 species